AGAGUUUGAUCCUGGCUCAGGACGAACGCUGGCGGCGUGCCUAAUACAUGCAAGUCGAGCGAGCUUGCCUAGAUGAAUUUGGUGCUUGCACCAAAUGAAACUAGAUACAAGCGAGCGGCGGACGGGUGAGUAACACGUGGGUAACCUGCCCAAGAGACUGGGAUAACACCUGGAAACAGAUGCUAAUACCGGAUAACAACACUAGACGCAUGUCUAGAGUUUAAAAGAUGGUUCUGCUAUCACUCUUGGAUGGACCUGCGGUGCAUUAGCUAGUUGGUAAGGUAACGGCUUACCAAGGCAAUGAUGCAUAGCCGAGUUGAGAGACUGAUCGGCCACAUUGGGACUGAGACACGGCCCAAACUCCUACGGGAGGCAGCAGUAGGGAAUCUUCCACAAUGGACGCAAGUCUGAUGGAGCAACGCCGCGUGAGUGAAGAAGGGUUUCGGCUCGUAAAGCUCUGUUGGUAGUGAAGAAAGAUAGAGGUAGUAACUGGCCUUUAUUUGACGGUAAUUACUUAGAAAGUCACGGCUAACUACGUGCCAGCAGCCGCGGUAAUACGUAGGUGGCAAGCGUUGUCCGGAUUUAUUGGGCGUAAAGCGAGUGCAGGCGGUUCAAUAAGUCUGAUGUGAAAGCCUUCGGCUCAACCGGAGAAUUGCAUCAGAAACUGUUGAACUUGAGUGCAGAAGAGGAGAGUGGAACUCCAUGUGUAGCGGUGGAAUGCGUAGAUAUAUGGAAGAACACCAGUGGCGAAGGCGGCUCUCUGGUCUGCAACUGACGCUGAGGCUCGAAAGCAUGGGUAGCGAACAGGAUUAGAUACCCUGGUAGUCCAUGCCGUAAACGAUGAGUGCUAAGUGUUGGGAGGUUUCCGCCUCUCAGUGCUGCAGCUAACGCAUUAAGCACUCCGCCUGGGGAGUACGACCGCAAGGUUGAAACUCAAAGGAAUUGACGGGGGCCCGCACAAGCGGUGGAGCAUGUGGUUUAAUUCGAAGCAACGCGAAGAACCUUA
rnacentral:rRNA from 1 species